UGUAUGUUUCUUGUUAAUGGGAUUUUGGAUUAAAAGAUCUUUUUGUUUGAAAGUCGCUGUUUGAGUCGCGUAUUUUGGAACCUGUGUUUUUUCGUUCCGUGGUUCGUAACAAAAGGUGGGAGUGUCCCAGCUGGAGGCCAGACAACUGAACGGAAUCAGGAGUGAGGAACGUACCUGCUUAGCAUCUCUGAUCUUGAUGAGGAAGGUCUGCAGCUCCAGAGUCUCUACAAACAGAGCCCUGCAGACAGCCAGGUAGUGCUCUGGUGCCAAGCUUGGGUUAGCUAGCCGAGACGCACACAGCGUGAUCACCUGGCGGAACGUACACACCGGCCUCAUGACUCCCUCCUGCUCUUCUUCCUCCUCCUCCUCCUCUUCCUGGCCACUGUAGCCCUCAUCUGUGGUACCAUUCCCAGCGGUGCUGACGCCCUCUUCACCCUGGUCAUCCCCCGCCAUGCGUUCAAUGAGAUGCUCCAGCUGCGGGCUGAGCUCCCGCUCCUCACUUUCAUCCAGCCCCCAGUCCAGAGCCUGGUAGAUGGCCACACCCAGCGACUGGACCAGCUGGAGGGAUGGAUGAGGCGAUACAACAAGGCAAUAGUAAAUAGGUUGCCCUUUACCAAGAACAUUUCAAUAAAGUACCAAGUUUGUCAAAAUCCUGCCAAACACCAAAAAAGAUGUAACUAAUCCACUCAGACGAAACCUUAACAUGAGGUUAAAAUAAAAGACUCGUAUGGUGCAUCUGAUUGGUCAAGACAGCCAGUGGUGUAAUGUAACUAAGUACAUUUAAUAAAAUACUGUACUAAAGUACUAUUUUGAGAUA